rnacentral:tRNA from 1 species
AUUCAAUUAGUAUAUAUUGUCAAGUAUAUUAAGCUUCCAACUUAAAGGAUUAUAAAAAUAAACUGAAUA